rfam:Paenibacillus yonginensis strain DCY84 chromosome, complete genome.
UACAAUAUGCGGCUUGAAGGACGGUCGGCUAGUCUCCCGGAAGGGAGGUGAUGCCUGUGGAGGUUAAAGAUGUUCUCACCUUAAUGCUCAUGUUUGGCAUGUUCAUUUUGGCGCUUCUUACCUACAUGAAAAAGAAAUAGACCGCCCUCCCUAAGGUAACGGUCUAUUUCGACCACCACUUAGCGGCCGACUGCUCUUUAUGCAGUUAUUGUGCUUAGGAGCCGUGUUCGCGCACGGCUC